GGUCCCAUCGUCUAGCGGUCAGGACGCCGGCCUCUCACGCCGGUAGCGGGGGUUCGAUUCCCCCUGGGAUCA
rnacentral:tRNA from 1 species